CCCCAAUACUGUACAAUAAGUCAUGAUUGCCCCGUAAAGGAAUUUAAAAGAGAAAACCAAAGGCCUGAAUUAUUCUACAAAAUGACAGGUGUCUAUUUGCAGACAAGCACAUAAAACUUUAGCAGUAUUAAACAUGUUUGUAAGCUCAUAUCAUUCCGUCUAAUCUGCAGGUACAGUGGUGUUACAAGACAACAUUACAACAAACUGUUUUCAGUCGAGAGGGGUUGACUAAUCAGAUAAUUACUCUAGCACUAAUACAAAAAGAAAACAGACUCAAAUAUUGAUCUAAUAGUACUCGCUGUUACGGAUAGCUAGUUCAGGGCACAUAUGUAUCUAUAAAAUAAAUACACGUCCGUCUCCAGUGUAAUGAUAUCAUGAAUAUCACUAUGAUUCUAAUGCUGGGACCUAAUUGACAUAAAAUUUGCAGAGCAUUUUAAUGUUUUUAUUUCUUUUGAGAAACUGAAAUAUAACGGAGAAUUUUGAUUAUGACUUAACUACUGUCGAAAAAUGAAAACCACAACAAGACUGACAAAAACAAGUGUUUUCGGGCAUCAAGGAAAACGUAAUUAUAGUUUAAACACAGAACAGUAUUAGAAUUCAACUUCACAUGUAACAAAGAUGUUUAUAGCUGUAAUGUAUUACAAACUAUUUAGUUACAUCUGUAGAUGUACAUAAACUUACUAAGCCUUAUGACUAACAAAUGACAGCGACUACGGAACCUGGCUGAUAAUAUACAGAGAUAAGAGAUCCUUCAUAAUGCGGAAAAAGUUGUGAAAAGCAGUUAACGAUUGUCCUAAAUUUUGAAUUAUUACUAUCUAUUUCCGUCAAAAUUUAGUAUUCCAACAGCUUUACAAUUUAUUCCUACCUCUCUGACAAAUAAUUUUGCCUGGUUAGUAUAUGGAUAAUAAUUACAAUGCACACUCAUGCGAUACUGUACGGAAAUGUAUAUCUUUAGUUGAGUGUGUGAUAUCCCUGCAGUAAAAAACAGUACAUCCCUGAUCAGAGAUAGAAUUGGUAUUGUACAAAGUUUUUAAGUAAAAAGGUACAACAGUUUUGGAGAUUUGGCCAAGGACGCCUUUAAAACCCUAAUGCCUUGUUUUGAAAACGUCGGGUGUGUCGUGGACGUGUUUGAUCGAUAUGAUGUGGAACAUUCGACUAAAUCAUCAGAAAGAAUAAAGAUUAAAACUGAGAAUGGAAAAGGGAAAUGCGUGAAAGAGACAACAAAGUAUAUUUCAAAUGGUGGUAGAUCUAAGGUUCUUCAAUUCAUUGAAUGCAUAUCAAUUAGAUAGUGUAAUAAAUUGCUUUGUGCACCUGAAAAUAAACAGGGAUUGAUAAGGUUUUUAGGUGACUAUGCACUCCCGCAUUACAAUGGUUUUGAUUUUCAAGACCAUGACGAAAUAUUCCUAGAAGGAUCUUUUCAAAAUCUAGACCACUGAUGUCUGGCACACUACCAGCUGCUCACGUUCUUACCCGACACGUCUUCUUCAAUCGGAAUUGGCAAAAAAGACAAUUACAAGGCGUCGAAAGAAUACCCAUGCAUGUAUCAAAGUUUGUCAAUUUAGCUGGUUCUAUAUUGGCACAUCUGUUGCAGCGGAAGGCCAAUUCAUCGCAGAUUAAUAUUACCCCAGAAGCAAUGCUCAAUCAGUACAUGGUGAUCUGAAAAAAAACUCAAGAGUGAAGUCGGCGCUUUCUAAGGGUGCUUUACUUAGUUAGACUACCUCUUUCAGAUGCCUCAUUCAGAAAGCACAUUCUUCGAGUUUACGUUUGAAUGAAUGCUUAUAUCGCCAAACCAUCAACUAAGUCACCUUUGGAAUAAAGAUAUUGGG